UAGUUUGGUUUAAUUAAAGAAUAAUGGAAUGUCUUUGUGUUAGUUAUGUUUUGAAAACGUGUGAAUUGACGAAAAUUAAUUAAGCCGGCAUGCUUUCAUUGUCUGGUCAAAGAUUUAUUAAUAAGACAAACGGUAUGACAGUUUGGCGUGAUUAAAGAAUAAAUAAGGUAACACGCUUAACCAGACAACAAUGCUGUUUGCAAAGUAAUUAUAAGGGCUGACUAUAUAUAAAGAGGGUAUCUGAAUGAGCCCAAAGUAUGUGUUUUGUUUGUGUCGGACAAUACUAUUUGUGACUUGGAAUACGAUUGCUAUAUAGUUGUGUGGGUUUCAGUGCAUCUGCCAUGUGUUCAAACAUAUAUGUGCUUAUUUGAUGUCGGAUACAAUAAUUUUCUAGUGUUAGUUAGUUUUGUGUUUGUGUUUCUGCAAUGGCAGAAGUGGCAAAUUGUAUACAUUGUGGAAAGACAGUUGGGCAGAGGCAACGUGCUGUUUUUUGCGAUGCCUGCGAGCGAUGGCAACACAUAGGCUGUGAUUCUGGUAUAUCCCUGGCAGAAUACAAAGCAGCAACAAGAGGCGAAAGAGAAAUUCACUUUCUAUGUGCAGAAUGUUGCAGAAGCAUUCCCACUAUUCAUAGUGUGCCUGAGGACGAAAGGGUAUCACAUGUUGACCCAGAUUUAACACAAUUAGUAGAACCUGAUAGUGCUGACGCGACAUUUCUGAAUGGGGACGUUUAUUCUCCUAUGGCCGCCCCGGUUGCAGAAUCAACAGUAAUCCAUCACGUAAGUAUAUUAUAUAAUAUUCCCUUCCGCGAAUUAGUUUGAUUAUAAUUGUGCGGUUCUGACGAUAUUAAACAGCUGAUAUUAGAAUAUAAUUUUAUUUCAUACACAUUACUUUCCGUUUUACGCGACAACGAAGGAAGAACACGUCUCUCCAGGGAAAAAUCUUCAAGCUGUGGGAAGCGUACGAGAGCGGAGAAUUGUCAGUCAACGGCCUACUGAGGAAAUGCAGUGGCAUUUAUGGACCAAAUGCAUGAACGUUGCUCAUUUGAUGUCUUUCUGAUUGUUGGAAAUGUUUCAACCCUUGUUUUUGAAAAGCUUGUUUGUGUGUGAAAGUUACUGUGUGUUUGUAAUGUUUUACCAUUAUUAUAUUUUUUAAAUGUUUGAUAAUAUUCAUCAUUUACGGACCAAAUGCCUGCCUGAAAGUUGCUAGAUUGAAUUGAAAUAAAUUAUUGCUCAUUUGUUGUUUUUUUUUCUUCUGAUUGUUAGAAAUGUUUCAACCAUUGUGUUUAAAAGCUUGUUUCUGUGUGAAAGUUUGUGUUUAAUUAUUACGGAUGUUUGAAAUGUUUGAUAAUAUUCAUCAUGGCUCAUUACAACCUGUGUUUGUAAUGUUUUAAAAGUAUUAAAGAUGUUGGAAAUGUUUGAUAAUAUUUUGUGAAAGUUUGUGUUAAUUAUUACGGAUGUUUGAAAUGUUUGAUAUUAUUCAUCAAGGCUCAUUACAAACUGUGUUUUUAAAUUAUUUUUAAAAUGAGUUAAUAAAUGGAAAUGUUUGAUAAUAUUUUGAAUUGUCUUUUCAUUCAUAA